UUUAAUUGAAUAGUUUGAUCAUGGCUCAGAUUGAACGCUGGCGGCAGGCCUAACACAUGCAAGUCGAGCGG
rnacentral:rRNA from 1 species